GAAAUGCGAUAAGUAAUGUGAAUUGCAGAAUUCAGUGAAUCAUCGAAUCUUUGAACGCACCUUGCGCUCCUUGGUAUUCCUUGGAGCAUGCCUGUUUGAGUAUCAUGAAAUUCUCAAAACAAACCUUUUGUUAAUUCAUUUGGUUCAGUUUUGGACUUGGAGGCCUUGCGGAUUCACGUCUGCUCCUCUUAAAAGCAUUAGCUAGAUCUCAGUGAGCUCGGUUCCACUCGGCGUGAUAAGUAUCACUCGCUGAGGACACCCGUAAAAAAGGUGGCCGGGAUUUGCAGAUGAACCGCUUCUAAUAGUCCAUUGAAUUGGACAGCAUACUUUAUGAUCUGAUCUCAAAUCAGGUAGGACUACCCGCUGAACUUAAGCAUAUCAAUAAGCGGAGGAAAAGAAACUAACAAGGAUUCCCCUAGUAAACCUGAG
rnacentral:rRNA from 1 species